CUUCAAUCCUGAUUCAUGCUGCUAAUCCAAGCCAAAAUGACAGCAUUGUAGGCAAACCUGUUCUACAUCACAAUUCACAAGACUAGGCACACAAUUAGACACCAAAUUUGAUAUAAGCAUGAUUCAUUUACAAUGCCUUCAAAGUUCAAAUGCCUCCAUCGUAUAAAUCCUCAAACAUUGAUCACUAAGCCAUUAUGGCUGCCACC
rnacentral:lncRNA from 1 species